rnacentral:tRNA from 1 species
GGGGUUGUGGCUCAGCUGUACAGUGCUCAGCUAGCACAUGUGAGGCCCUGGGUUCAAUCCUCAGCACCUCA